rnacentral:rRNA from 1 species
UACGUAGGCAGCGAGCGUUGUUCGGAAUUACUGGGCGUAAAGAGUGUGUAGGCGGUGCUCCCAGUCUGUUGUGAAAUCUCCCGGCUUAACUGGGAGGGUGCAGCGGAAACUAGAGUGCUAGAGGGUGGGAGAGGUAAGCGGAAUUCCUGGUGUAGCGGUGAAAUGCGUAAAUAUCAGGAGGAACACCUGUGGUGUAGACAGCUUACUGGACCACUUCUGACGCUGAGACACGAAAGCGUGGGUAGCAAACAGG